ensembl:lncRNA
AGCGGAAGGGGCACGCGGAAAUGCCGGGGGAAGGGGGGCAGAGGUCGAAGGUCAGGAGAACUCUGUUUCAAGUUGUUUCCAAUCAGGAGGUAAUCCAUCAGGACAGAAGGUUCAGUAAAACCAGCUUAACCAUAACAGUUCUGAAGGCAGGAGGAGAAGGGGAUGACAGAGGAUGAGAUAGUUGGAUGGCAUCACCGAUUCAGUGGACAUGAGUUUGAGAAAGUUCCAGGAGAUGGUGAAGGAAAGAUCCAGAUUCUCAUCCUCGCCCCUACCUUUGGCAACAAUGGAUGAGGAAGCAGAGGGAAAACGGAAAGCAGUCAAAGAGGCUGGCAUCAUAAAACUGGAAGUCUUCUUAAGGAGUUACGUCACACCUCCCCACAAAGAAAAUUAAGGGGACACGGGUUUGAUCCUUGCUCGGGUAAGAUCCCACAAAGAUUCCACAUGCCACGGAGCAACGAAGCCAGUGCGCCGCAACUACUGAGCCUUCUCUCUAGAGCCCUCAAGUCACAACUACUGAGCCCGUGCACCACAACUAAUGAAGCCGGUGUGCCUGAGAGCCCAUGCUCUGAGAUGAGAAGCCCGUGCGCAAGGAAGAGUAGCCCCCGCUCAUUGCAACUGGAGAAAGCCCUGGUGCAGCAAUAAAGACAGAGCAC